CUCCUACGGGAGGCAGCAGUGGGGAAUAUUGGACAAUGGGCGAAAGCCUGAUCCAGCCAUGUCGCAUGAGUGAAGAAGGCCUUUGGGUUGUAAAGCUCUUUUAGUGAGGAAGAUAAUGACGGUACUCACAGAAGAAGUCCUGGCUAACUCCGUGCCAGCAGCCGCGGUAAUACGGAGAGGGCUAGCGUUAUUCGGAAUUAUUGGGCGUAAAGGGCGCGUAGGCUGAUUAAUAAGUUAAAAGUGAAAUCCCGAGGCUUAACCUUGGAAUUGCUUUUAAAACUAUUAAUCUAGAGAUUGAAAGGGGAUAGAGGAAUUCCUGAUGUAGAGGUAAAAUUCGUAAAUAUUAGGAGGAACACCAGUGGCGAAGGCAUCUAUCUGGUUCAAAUCUGACGCUGAGGCGCGAAGGCGUGGGGAGCAAACAGGAUUAGAUACCCUGGUAGUCCACGCUGUAAACGAUGAAUGUUAAAUAUGGGAAGUUUACUUUCUGUAUUACAGCUAACGCGUUAAACAUUCCGCCUGGGGACUACGGUCGCAAGAUUAAAACUCAAAUGAAUUUGACCGGGGACCCCCAUGAACUGUGGAGCAUGUGCUUUAAUUCUAUGCAACGCCAAAAAACCUUACCACUUCUUGACAUGGAAAUCAUACCUAUUCCAAGGGAUAGGGUCUCUUCGGCGGGAUUUUACACA
rnacentral:rRNA from 1 species